rnacentral:rRNA from 1 species
GACGAACGCUGGCGGCGUGCUUAACACAUGCAAGUCGAACGGAAAGACCCUGCUUUUGUGGGGUGCUCGAGUGGCGAACGGGUGAGUAACACGUGAGUAACCUGCCCUUGACUUUGGGAUAACUUCAGGAAACUGGGGCUAAUACCGGAUAGGAGCUCCUGCUGCAUGGUGGGGGUUGGAAAGUUUCGGCGGUUGGGGAUGGACUCGCGGCUUAUCAGCUUGUUGGUGGGGUAGUGGCUUACCAAGGCUUUGACGGGUAGCCGGCCUGAGAGGGUGACCGGCCACAUUGGGUCUGAGAUACGGCCCAGACUCCUACGGGAGGCAGCAGUGGGGAAUAUUGCACAAUGGGCGGAAGCCUGAUGCAGCAACGCCGCGUGCGGGAUGACGGCCUUCGGGUUGUAAACCGCUUUCGCCUGUGACGAAGCGUGAGUGACGGUAAUGGGUAAAGAAGCACCGGCUAACUACGUG